rnacentral:rRNA from 1 species
CACAUAUGGUAGGAGAGCGUUCCGUAAGCCUGAGAAGGUGUCUUGUAAAGGAUGCUGGAGGUAUCGGAAGUGCGAAUGCUGACAUGAGUAGCGAUAAAGAGGGUGAAAAGCCCUCUCGCCGAAAGCCCAAGGUUUCCUGUUCAACGUUCAUCGGAGCAGGGUGAGUCGGCCCCUAAGGCGAGGCAGAGAUGCGUAGCUGAUGGGAAGCAGGUUAAUAUUCCUGCACCGUCGUAUGAUGCGAUGGGGGGACGGAUCGCGGAAGGUUGUCCAGCUGUUGGAAUAGCUGGUUUUUGACUCAUAGAAGGUGCUUAGGCAAAUCCGGGCACGUAAUUCAAGGGGUCGAGACGUGUGUCCUUGUGACACGAAGCAAUCGGAAGUGGUUCCAAGAAAAGCCUCUAAGCUUCAGUCAUACGAGACCGUACCGCAAACCGACACAGGUGGGCGAGAUGAGUAUUCUAAGGCGCUUGAGAGAACUCGGGAGAAGGAACUCGGCAAAUUGGUACCGUAACUUCGGGAUAAGGUACGCCCCGGUAGCUUGAUUGGUUUACUCCAUGAGGGUGAAAGGGUUGCAAUAAACUGGUGGCUGCGACUGUUUAAUAAAAACACAGCACUCUGCAAACACGAAAGUGGACGUAUAGGGUGUGACGCCUGCCCGGUGCUGGAAGAUUAAAUGAUGGGGUGCAAGCUCUUGAUUGAAGUCCCAGUAAACGGCGGCCGUAACUAUAACGGUCCUAAGGUAGCGAAAUUCCUUGUCGGGUAAGUUCCGACCCGCACGAAUGGCGUAACGAUGGCCACACUGUCUCCUCUCGGGACUCAGCGAAGUUGAAAUGUUUGUGAAGAUGCAAUCUCCCCGCGGCUAGACGGAAAGACCCCAUGAACCUUUACUGCAGCUUUACAUUGGACUUUGACAAGAUUUGUGUAGGAUAGGUGGGAGCCUGUGAAACGUGGUCGCCAGAUCGCGUGGAGGCAUCGUUGAAAUACCACCCUGAUGUUGUUGAGGUUCUAACCUAGGUCCGUAAUCCGGACUGGGGACCGUGUAUGGUAGGCAGUUUGACUGGGGCGGUCUCCUCCCAAAGAGUAACGGAGGAGUGCGAAGGUAACCUAGGUACGGUCGGAAAUCGUACUGAUAGUGCAAUGGCAUAAGGUUGCUUGACUGCGAGACGGACAGGUCGAGCAGGUGCGAAAGCAGGUCAUAGUGAUCCGGUGGUUCUGUAUGGAAGGGCCAUCGCUC